ACUCCUGACCUCAGGUGAUCCACUUGCCUCAGCCUCCGAAAGUGCUGGGAUUACGGACAUGAGCCACUGUGCCUGGCCGAAGACCUUUGUUUCUAAUAGCUAGGGUUCAAUUAUGACUGCAACAGAAAAUCCCUGCUGAUAUGGAACUUACUGCAAUACAGAAGAAUGACACAGAACAAAUACACAGGGUAACAUCCAUCGGUGAAAGUGCCGUGAAGUAAACAAAGCUGGAUAAAGGACAUGGAGUAAUGAGGGGCACUCUUUUAGACAGGGCACUCAGAGAUAGGGCUCACAGGCUGAUAAGGUACCAUUUGACAGACACCAGAGGGAAGUGAGAGGAGGAGGCAUGGGAAUAUCUGGGGGAAGUAUAACGUGCAGUAAGAUAACAGUUAAUGUAGAGACUGAGGCAAGAAUGUGAUUGAUACAUUCAAGGAAUAGAAAAGUAGUGAGAGGCUGGGCACAGUGCUUCACACCAGUAAUCCCAACACUUUGGGAGGCUGAGCUGGGAGGAUCCAUUGAGCCCAGGAGUUUGGGACCAGCCUGGGCACCACAGUGAAACCCCAUCUCUACAAAAAGGAAAAGGAGGAAAACCGGUGGGACUGGAAUAGCAUAGGCAAAUAGGAGCGUGGUGAGCAACGAAGUCAGAAACAUGGUAGGGUGCUAGGGAUAUUUAAAGCCAUGCCAUCUACUGUGGUAGCCACUAUCCACAUGGGGCUAUGUGGACUAUGAUUAAAAAUUUAUUUCAUCAGUUAUAUUUUAAGUGCUAAUUAGUCACUCACAUGUGGCUAAUGGCUGCUCUAUUGGACAGCACAGAUAUAGCAUGUUUUCAUCAUUGUUAAACGUUUAGUUGAUUAUUUGCCUCCUCAUGGGCCACACUUUAUUCCACAUCUGAGGGGAAACCAGUGGAGAAUUUUGAGAAAAGUAACAUGAUCUGGUUUUAAAAGUUUUACUCUUUGCUGUAAUAGAGGUUGGCCAGAUGAAGAGAAGGUGGGCAUUAUAAGAAGAAUGGUAAUAGGUACAAAGGCGCAGAGGUUCCCUUACUACAUGAAAGUUUAAGAGUUGAGUCUUAGCCAUUGACUUUUUUUGAUGAAUUUUUAUGUUGGUGUACUUUUAAACUUAUUAAAAAGCUACAAAUAUAGUACAAGGGGGUCCGAUACACUCUUUACCAACAUUCAUCAAUUGUUUACAUUUCAUCCCAUUUGCUUUAUUAUCCUCUCUUCUUGUGUGUAUGUAUAUGUAAAAUUCAUUUGUGAAUAAAUUGAGUUAUUGUGCCCUUUAGCCAUAGUUUCCUUUAACACAAAUGCAGUAAUCAAAACAAGGAGAUUAUAUUAGAUUGGUGCAAAAGUAAUUGCAGUUUUGCAUUACUUUCAAUGGCAAAAACUGCAAUUACUUUUGCACCAACCUAAUAGAUACACUACUGUUAUCUAAUCCACUAUGUUCAGAUUUUAUCAGCUGUCCCAAUAAUAUGCUGUAUAACCAUCUCCCCGCCCCUCAGUCCAGGGUCCGCUCUAGUAUCACAUGUAGGAUUUAUGUGUUAUACCUAUUUGGUCUUCUUUAACCUGACACAUUUCCUCAGUCUUUGUGUUUCUGAUAUAUUUAAAGAGUAUACAGGCCAGUUAUUUUGUAGAAAAUUUCAAAGUUUGAGUUUUUUUGGGGUUUUCCCAAGAUUAGUUUCAGGUUUUGCAUUUUUGGCAAGUAUGUCACUGAUAUUGUAUUUUCUCAGUUCACCAUGCGAUAUAUAUGAUAAUGCUGUCUCUCAAAACUGGUAAUGUUAGCUUUGAUUACUUGAUUAAGGUAAUGUCUGCCAGGUUUUACUACUGUUAUUAUUUUCCCUUUUGUAAUAAGUAAUUUGUGCCAGGCUAUUUUGAGAUUACGUAGUAACCUCUUUCUUUACCAAAUCUACCAUACCAUUUUAUAUCCAUUUAUGAUUUUCCCAAUUCCUUAUUCUUUAUUUAUUAAUCAGCAUUCUACUAUAAGGAAGAACUUUCCCCUUCACCCUCAUUUAUUUACAUCAGUGUGAAUUCAUGGGUUAUUUUAUUCAGUGAGCUAUAAUGCAUUGCUAUUAAAUUGUCCCUGAUUUGUCCAGUGGGAAUCCUUCCAAGAUGGAGGCUGUGUUCUUUUGAUAUUUUCCCAUUAUUCUUUGGGAAAUUCCUUUGUUUAGGGCACCAGAAUGUUCCAGGUUCAAUUUAUGCCUUUUGGGCUCUUGCUCAGUAAUAAGCCAUUUCUCCAAAGAGCUUUGAUUACUUUUUGUAAGCCUUUGAAAUUUAAUCUGGAGGUAAUGAGUAACCACUGACACUCUGGGUGUGUGGCAUGAUCCAAAUCAGUGUUUUUAAAAAAGACUACUUUGUUUCCGAUGGAUGUGGUGAUGUCACCCUCUCUCGGGCCGCGACCGAUCCACGGUGGGCGAGGGAUGGACAUUCAUGGUGAAUGGGACCGCUCUUCUCAUCCUGCCUUCAGGGACCCCUUGCCUCUCUUCCCUGCCUGUGAGGGCUGUGUUGGGAGGCAUUGGGGUACAGAAUCCCGCCUGACUUUUUUUUAUUCCCAAAUAAAAAGAAUAAAAAAAUUAAAAAAUAAAAAUAAAAAAGACCACUUUGGUAAUAGUGUGUAGAAAACAUUGAGUUAUGAAACUAGUCAUAGAAAGAACAAUUAUUAGAUUAUUAGUCUUUUCUAGUAAUUUAAACAAGCCAUAAUGUGGGUCUAAAAACACUGUCAAUGAAGGGGGAACAAAUAACUUUACACUGGAGAAACCUGGUGUGUACUACCUCAGCCAGGUGAUCAAGGUCAACGUCAAUAGUGAUGAUCUGUUGAUAGUUUGUACCCUUAAUAUGAGAUAAUGAAAAUGGCAUUUAUCUCUGUGGUCUUCCUCCUGAAAACCCAAUAACCCCAGUAUAAUCAUGAGAAAAACAUGAAACAAAUCCCAUUUGAAGGACAUAAUGGUCCCAUUUGAAGGUAACAUAAUGAUAACUACAAAAUACCUGACCAGUACUCCUCAAAACCGUGAAGGUACUCAUCAAAACUGUCAUGGGCUUUAGGUAACAGCAGUGUGUUAAUAUUGAUUCAUUAACUAUAACAAUGUACGAUACUACUGUAACAUGUUAAUAAUAGAGGAAACUGGGAUGGGAUACAUGGAUUCUCUGUACUAUCUUCACAGUCUUUUUGUAAACUGAAUAGUUUUUUAAAAAAAAGUUUAUUCAAAAACACUAUCAGUGGAGUUAAAUAAGUAGGGUUUAUUUUUAGGCGUGUAAAUGAGUGAUAUUUUUACAUAAUGCAUGAUGGUAACUUCUUCAGAGUAGUCAUUUGUGAAGGCUAUAAACUUAUUUCAGUAGUGCAGCGGUUCAAAGUGUUUUGCAGCUCUUCAGAGUCUUUAGUAAAUUCUUUCGGCUAUUUACAGUCUUUUAAAACAGUGGUCCCCAGCCUUUUUGACACUAGGGACCGCUUUUGUGGAAGACCAUUUUUCUGCUCAUGGGAGUUGGGGGUAUUGCAUCAGGAUGAAACUGUUCCACCUCACCACAGAUCAUCAGGCAUGAGAUUCUCAUAAGGAGCACACACCCUAGACCCCCGACAUGCACAAUUCACAGUAGGGUUUGCACUCCUGUGAGACUUUAAUGCUGCCGCUGAUCUGACAGGAAGCAGAGCUCAGGCAGUAAUGUUCACUUGCCUGCCAUUCACCUCCUGCUCUGCCAACUCGGUUCCUAACAAGCCACGGACUGGUAUUGAUCCAUGGCCCAGGGGCUGGGGACCCCUGUUUUAAGAUAUACUUUAGUGAGAGACAGAAUAAUGUAGCAGUCAAGGCUGUGACUGUACAGAAGUUUCUCAAGCUUUCUAAACCCCAAAGUAGGUAUAACAACUUACA